rnacentral:rRNA from 1 species
UACGGAAGGCAGCAGUGGGGAAUAUUGCACAAUGGGCGCAAGCCUGAUGCAGCCAUGCCGCGUGUAUGAAGAAGGCCUUCGGGUUGUAAAGUACUUUCAGUCGUGAGGAAGGUGUUAAGGUUAAUAACCUUAGCAAUUGACGUUAGCGACAGAAGAAGCAUCGGCUAACUCCGUGCCAGCAGCCGCGGUAAUACGGAGGGUGCGAGCGUUAAUCGGAAUUACUGGGCGUAAAGGGCACGCAGGCGGUUAAUAAGUUGGAUGUGAAAUCCCCGGGCUUAACCUGGGAAUGGCAUUCAAGACUGGUUAGCUAGAGUCUUGUAGAGGGGGUAGAAUUCCGAUGUGUAGCGGUGAAAUGCGUAGAGAUGUGGAGGAAUACCGGUGGCGAAGGCGGCCCCUGGGACAAAGACUGACGCUCAUGUGCGAAAGCGUGGGGAGCAAACAGGGAUUAGAUACC